UACAGAGGUCUCAAGCGUUGUUCGGAUUCAUUGGGCGUAAAGGGUGCGUAGGUGGUGCCGUAAGUCAGGUGUGAAAUCUCGGGGCUCAACCCCGAAACUGCACUUGAUACUGCGGUGCUUGAGGACUGGAGAGGAGAUCGGAAUUCAUGGUGUAGCAGUGAAAUGCGUAGAUAUCAUGAGGAAGACCAGUGGCGAAGGCGGAUCUCUGGACAGUUCCUGACGGCUGAGGCACGAAGGCCAGGGGAGCAAACGGG
rnacentral:rRNA from 1 species